AUGUCUUCUUUUGGAGUUUUCUACUGUAAGCAUAGAAUACAGUUAUUUUGAAAGACUUUCUGAUGAGCGUGAGAGAUGUUUCAGAAAAAAGAAGAUUGCAGAGCACUACUUGACAAAAGCCUUCAAGUGUGUGUCCGGUAGAAGACAGUUUGACGUGCAGGAAAUUUACCUAGGGCUUGGGAGAUUCUGCUUUUUUUAUUAUUUAUUUGCAUUAUUCUAGUCCAGGUGGCCACUGAACCAAUUAAUUGCUCCUGAUAUUCAAAAUAAGGAUAUUAACUCCACACGCCAAGUGGACACGAAGACACUACAAACAUUCAAAGACAGCUGCCUUCCCAAUCCUGCCUGAGCUCAGCUAAGACUCCUUUACCCAAUGCAGCACUCAUAGUCAGAUGGAAGCAGAUCAGCAGACCAACAGGAGCAGAUAAUCACACUGAAGAAGAUCUUGCCCAGUAAAUCAAUGUCUUUGGAAGGUCAAAAUAUAUUCCAAACCAUCACAAGUGUGUAUUUUCUUGUUGCACAGGAAGUGCUUUUUAGA